AGCACAAAAUAGAAGGGGGUGAAUGAGGAGGCAAUGGUUGACAGCAACCAUGGGAGGAGGUCGGGGCGUCGAAGAGUAUUGAGUUGGCGAAUCCAGCGAGAUGUGGUUCAAGCAAAUGUUGAUGAUGCGGCAAUGAGAAGACCCUCUCUGUGAGCCCUAUCCCUCUCACUUGGCGUCUCGGUUUUUGUUUCUGGUGCUCCCUGUUUCUCUCCUUCAUUUUGGUGUUCGGUUCGUUGAAAACACCAGCUGCUAAGGUUCUUUAGACCGUUGUGAGAAAGCAUCCAUACUUCCAUAGAAAAAAUCUUGCACUUACCAAAUAGCAGUCUCAAAGUAGAGAGUGCAAGGAAUAUUUGACCAUUGGCCAGAUGUGGUGAUGUGCAUCUUCUGAAUGAACCGUCCGUCCGGUCACCUCUAUUUUAUUUUGUGCUGAUUAUUGGUGAGUUUCAAACUUCCAAUUUGAUAGAUCCUGCAGAAGAAGAGCAUGGAGAACAUCUCCCUCUUCCUAUAUAUCUCAAAAUUGGACUUACAGGUGAUCGAUCCAUGGAGUUGAAGUGUUUGUCAAAUUGCUUGCAAGGGUGAUUAGGAUUUUAUAGGUCACUAUUUGAUUUCUGUCAUAAUAUUUAAACUACUACUGAUCUUCUAAAAUGUUAUUUGUUAUUUCUUUCAGCUAUCAGCUGGUCAGUUUUGAUGUGUUUUCGACAUUACGAGCCUAUCACUUUUGAUGUGUUGGUAUUAGAAUGAAACGGAGUUGCCAUUUCAGUUUGCAUCUACACUCUAAUAUUUAUGCAUUUGAAGUACAUGUCAUUGCACAACUAUUGAUAUAUGAUUCAUAUAGAACUUGAUGAAUUGCAGAGUUAUACUUUCACGAUUUUAUAAGAUACUGAAACCAGUUCGCCUUCUUUUUGAUGAGGAGGUUCUCUUAGAAAAUCGGGACCUGAAGGUUACUAUUUUAAUUCCUAUAAUCAAUGGCUACAAAAUGCUUCUAGCUCUACAAUGAGGCUGCUUUGCACACCGCGUGAACUCUGCUUUGCACUUGCAGCGAUCGCGCCAUUUCUGGAAGCGGCAAGGGCGGUGGGUUGUGCCUGUGCCGGUGCCAUCGCUUGACGCUCCACCUGGAUGGCGCCGGGCUGGGAGCUGCGGGAAAUACGUGUAUUGAGGACCAUGGUGUGCGGAUCAUGUGCCUGAUGCUAGACGCGAUGGUCAGGCACCAGACUGUCAUCGGCAACUACAAACAACAGAACAUGCGAGUCGUCUACAACCUUGACAGAGCCAUGCUAUCCUUUGUGUCGGCGCACUAUAACUGUUCUGAACAAAGGAAGAACUUGUAGUAUUGAUCACAUGAAAUAUGCCAAUGUGGCAGUGGCACUGAACUGAAGCAACGAUUUCUUUGAAUGAAAUGUGAACUGGAAUGUAGAGCUGACAAAAAGGGUU